rnacentral:rRNA from 1 species
CAGCAGCCACGGUAAUACAGAGGGUGCGAGCGUUAAUCGGAUUUACUGGGCGUAAAGCGUGCGUAGGCGGCUUCUUAAGUCGGAUGUGAAAUCCCUGAGCUUAACUUAGGAAUUGCAUUCGAUACUGGUUAGCUAGAGUGUGGGAGAGGAUGGUAGAAUUCCAGGUGUAGCGGUGAAAUGCGUAGAGAUCUGGAGGAAUACCGAUGGCGAAGGCAGCCAUCUGGCCUAACACUGACGCUGAGGUACGAAAGCAUGGGGAGCAAACAGGAUUAGAUACCCCUGUAGUCCAUGUCUCUUAUAC